rnacentral:rRNA from 1 species
AGCUAAUAGAUACCCAGGUAGUCCUGGCAGUAAACGGUGCACGUUUGGUGUGGGAGGAUUCGACCCUCUGCGCCGGAGCCAAACGCGUUAAACGUGCCGCCUGGGGAGUACGGUCGCAAGAUUAAAACUACAAAGAAAUUGACGGGGGCCCGGCACAAGCGGUGGAGUAUGUGGCUCAAAUUCGAUGCAACGCGAAGAACCUUACCAGGCCUUGACAUGCAUCUCUAAGUUGGUGAAAGCCAGCGAGUCUCGAAAGAGACAAUUUGCACAGGUGCUGCAUGGCUGUCGUCAGCUCGUGUCGUGAGAUGUUGGGUUAAGUCCCGCAACGAGCGCAACCCCCGUGAACUGUUGCCACGGAACCGAGAGGUUCCAGCACUCUGUUCAGACUGCCUCGCUUAAACGAGGAGGAAGGUGGGGACGACGUCAAGUCAGUAUGGCCCUUACGGCCUGGGCUGCACACGUACUACAAUGCCCAGUACAGAACGAUCCAAUACCGCGAGGU